GAUGAACGCUGACAGAAUGCUUAACACAUGCAAGUCAACUGUGGCUGACGUGUGAGUAACGCGUAAAGAACUUGCCUCACAGAUAGGGUCAACAUUUGGAAACGAAUGCUAAUACCUGCUACUGUGAGAUAGCUUUGCGUCACAUUAGCUAGUUGGAGAGGUAACGGCUCACCACGGCGAUGAUGGGUAGCCGGCCUGAGAGGGGGAUCGGCCACAAGGGGACUGAGACACGGCCAUUACUGCUAAGGGAGGCAGCAGUGGGGAAUAUUGGAAAAUGGGCCAAAGUGUGAUCAAGGAAUUCUGUGUGUACGAUGAAGUUUUCGGAAUGUAGAGUGCUUUCAGUUGGGAAGCGGUACCAACAGAAGAAGUGACGGCUAAAUACGUGCCAGCAGCCGCGGUAAUUC
rnacentral:rRNA from 1 species